CCCCCAAAUUCUUCCUUAUCCACCGCCGCAUGCCUGAUAUUCAAUUUUUUCUCUUCCUGCCUUUAAUAAUUAAGCAUGGAACACACAAGUUCAGUUUUUGAGGAAUAAUUUGUUAAUCAUGGGGUGUCUUCCAUUAUUUGGAGUUUUGGUUUAGUUCCCAAUGAAGAUCAAUCAGAAUUUUGUUUGAACAAAACUAAAAUUACGGGUAAACAACAUCCUUGCGGUUGACAAUGGGUUUAGAAGAAAUUCGAACGCAAUCUUAUAUAAGUGAUUUUCGAUGUACGAAGAAGAAGAAAAAGAAGCCACGCACAGUUCUCCACGAACAUAUCAUAACGUGAUGGAAUUCUUAGUUCAAAUUAUUUAAAUUUUGGUUUUUCUACAAACUAUUCUUAAUUUGGGAACCACGGUAUGUACUUGGAUAGAUAUCAGAGUUGAUAUAACCGGUAGAGAUAAUAGUGGUCGUGUAAUUAUGUUUUGGAUCAAGGGAUCCUUUCACGGUGCAAGGUGCUAUUGAUAUCAGUCUACAUUUUAAUAAUCAAAGAGUCAAGAUAUGAAACGUUCUUGGAAUUUAGAGGGGGAGGGUGUUAGUGCCGAAAACUAAUCCAUGAUGUGUAUGUAUAGAAAUGCUCUACAAUUUCAUGGCACGGUAAUAGCUUCUGAUAAAGAUGUUGAUAGGAGUGAGACACCGGCAUUCAAUAUGGGUACCGUUCAUAUAGAAUCAAAAUACUUUUAUGCAAAAGGAAUCACUUUCUUGUUCUUGGAGGUCAAGGAAUGCGAGCAGUCGCAUCUAAGGUUGCAGGAUUGUAUUGGUCAUUCAAGUGCUGGAAGCGUGAGGGUGCGGUUAAAGCUCAACAUAGGAAUUCAGCCAGUGAAGAUCCAACAUUUUUGUUUGCGAAAGAUGGACAUUGCAAUAUGCAGGUAGCUUUAAUAACAAGCGUAUUCAGCCUCUUGGAGAAAAAAAGGGUAGCUAUUCGUAUGUGCAGCUCGAAAGCUCAUUCUAAAGGUAACCAUUUGCUAACUAAUGCAUGGGAUUAUGUUGAAUUAUCUCUAGCAAAAAAGUAGGAUUUUGCUUUUUCUUUUGCUAUCUAGAUAGAUGUACACAUAGGGCACACAUUCAUAUCUUUGUGGACUCCUAUUUGAAACUUCCAGGACCAGAAAUGCAUGGACUCCUAUUUGAAACUUCCAGGACCAGAAAUGCAUGAACGUCGACAUAUAAGUCAUUAGAAAGAUGUGAUUGUGAUUCAUUCACCAGUAUUUCUAAAUAGCUAAUUGUCUUUACAUGGUGUGAUGGUGCUAAUUUGAAAUCACCGAGAGUUUACUUUUAUUGUUUUCCAAAUAUGAAAGUUCAAUUAAACACUUCUUUUGUAAAGAAAGGUAUUGGAAAUAUGUAUGGAAAAGCAGUUGCUUGGUAAAGCGUCACUAGGUAUGGAAUUUAUUUAUGUAAACAAGCCUGCACCUAUGCGUUUUUAUCUUUUAAAAUUAGUUUCCGCAAUGACCAUGAUUUUGUAACAGUACAAAUUUAGUUAUAGAAUAACCAAAAGUUUCCCAUUGACAGCUAGAUAGUUUUAAUCAAAUUUUAAGUGCAUCUCUAUUUGACUAACAUUAUGUAUGUUUCAUAGUAGUAACUGUUGCCCAAUAAGAUAAUGGGUGUAUGCAUUUUUUGGGUUUGAUACUCUUUAUAGUGCGAUUUUAGUUUGAAGUUUCUGGAUGUCAGGAAGUUUUAUUUUCUCAAAAGUGUAAGCUAAUUGUUAUAUCUUAGUGUACUGGAGAACAUAUGUGCAAUACGUACAUGUUUCUCUGAUUUGUUUGUAUUGUCGAUGGUGGAUUGGCUAAUUGAUUGACUAACUUCUGCACCUAAAAGAAAGAAGGGAGGAAUUGAGAAAAUGGUUUGUUACUCAAGAUUCUAAUUUAUUUGAAUACCUGUAGUAUAAAACUGUAUUUGUUUAGUUCCUUUUCUUUAGGGAAUGCUUGCCUAUUUUCUUCUUUGUUUAUGCACUGACUCUUAAUUAGUACCCACCUAAGAUGAACUUCCCAACAUGGGGUAUGUGAUUUUUCAAGAGGUUCAGUCAGUUUGAUUUUUCUUGCUAUGCAUCAAUUAUCAUAUGUACACCGUAAAUUAUGUACAACUUCUUAUCAGUUUGAGAAGGGUAGGGGAUUUAUGACAGACAUGGGCAACAUUCGUGGUCAGAAUUGGUAGAUUGCUCUUUCAUAGGAACCGUUCUUUCAAUAUAAGCACCGGGUAUGGUGCUAAACCUACUUUAGCUCACAUCAGUAAAUUAUGUACGUACAAACCCUCCUGAUUCAUAUAUGGAAUCCGUUUUUAGUGGAGUUGCUCCCAAGUUUCUAGCAGAUCCCUACCAACAGAAAGAGUACUACCAUGUGAAUUUUUUUUGACAAGUGAGAUUUAGAAUCGUCUGCAAUCCUUUAAAUACCAAAUUAUAUGCUGAGAAUUUAAGAUACAGAAGAUCUGAGGAGAAUUAGAUAGUGGUUGGUGUUUAUUACAGUAUGGUUUGGUGUGCUAUGGUAGAUUUUUUAUCCUUGGUAAAAGGUGGCUUUAGAUGGAGUUUAGCAAAGGAGCACUCUUUCAAGGGUAAAUACUUUUUUCUAGGGGUUUGGCACACCAUUGUUAAAAUUUUUAAGAAUCCAUCCUUGAAGCUAAGGCUUAGAAAGAUAGAAAGAUUCGAUUUAUGCACUUCCGGAAAGGAAGUAAUUUUUUUGUAUGAAAUGUGUCAGUUAUUCAGUGGAAAGGUGGUUGACAUGAAUGGAACCUUGCGGAGACUUUGAAAUUUGGAAUUGGAAUGCAGUCCUUUGGUGCGCUUUUGAGUUGUGAUUGUCACUGUGUUACUUUGUACAUUGAGCAACAACUUCUUAACAAUUUCAGCCUUCAAUAGUUUCCAUUUUGUCCCUUAGUUUGUUCCCCUGGAUUUUUCUUUCACAAUUAAAAGCACUAUGUAACUUUUUUGUACGUGGUUAGAUUUUUUGAAGUUUUAUUAUAUGGAUUUAUCGUACGAAUAUCUGUCAUACGGAAAGGUAGUUGUGCCAAAGUAUUUUGUAUCAAAUUCCUAUGUGCGAAAAUCAAUCUUAUGGAGUAGUUAUCCUAAACUGGUUCUCUUGGAAAAGUAGGAAGGAGUUAGCGGAGAAGCAGAUCGAUCAAUAAUAAGGGAGGAAGGGAAUCAAACUAGGGGGGAUUUCCUUCCGUGUUUUUUGUUAAUGGUUGAAGGGAUUUUCUUACUUGUUACCCUUGCUUGUUAUUUCUUCGUUUUUUUUUCUUAAUUUGAAUCCUCUAUCUGUUGAUGUUGCUUGUCUCUUCUCUAAGAUUAAAAUGGUCGAAUCUCAUCUCUAGGCUUUGAGACCCUGUUUCACUACGGGUAGAAAGCAGCCGACCAUUUUUUUUGAGAUCGAGAAAGAACAUGGUAAUUCCCUUGCCUGCCUGUUGUUUGUUUUAAGUCCUAUCUGUGCUUGUGCUUCUUGUUUCUUGCCUGCUUCAUUUUUUUUAGUCGUUAAUCAUCUCUAAGCUUUGAGACCCUGAUACACUAUGGGUAGAAAGCUGCCGAUCUUGUUAAUUUAAACUUCUCUUCCUUAUUUCCCUUAGUGGGUGUUCUUAAAAUUUAAAUCAAUUAAUUUUUAAGCUUGUGUUGCUCUUCUCUCCUUCAAGAUAGAAAUGGGUCAACAACCAACAGAGCUUUGAGUCCCUGAAAAAUUUUGGGUAGAAAGCUGUAGACAAUUACUUUUGAGAUGGGGGAAGAGAUUAGAGUAUCUGUAGUAUUUUCUUCAUGAUUCUAAUUUAAUGUAUUCUCUUGCAAUUAGUUAUUCAAUUUAGUAGAUCCUUUCAUCGAAUGUUUGGAGUCUGGGAGUUAACAUAUAGAUCUAGAAAACGGGAGAUUGCGGAAGUAUUAGAAAAACUUAGAAAGGAUGGAUUUUAGACGAGGUGGCCCAAUUAGGUUUUUUUUUUUAAGUAGAAAUUGACGUUUAGUCCCAAAGUUACUGGGCUUGGGACGCUUUAGUCCACUCAUCUCAGGCCUAGUACUCUCUAGUCCAAAAAAUCCUCCUGUCCAACGGUUUAGUCCAGAUUUCUACGAGUUGGUCCAAAUUUUAGCCGGUUUAGAAAAUGCAAUUUUUUCUUCCAUAAUUACCCUCUGAUGUUUUCUUGUUCAUUUUUUUAGAUCUUAGAUUUUUCGGAGAGAGAAAUAGAGACAGGUCCAAUUUAGUGUUGUUUUUUGCAGCUGAGAUUCGUACUUCAAGUUAGCAUUUUGAUGUUUUCAUUUAAUGUUUAUUUGAUUGAUUUCUUCUUCUUCAAUUUUCUAGGUUUGAUAUGUUCAUGGAAAUCUCUGAUUUAGUUUAUUCUACUCCCUUUAGCCCUCAAUCUAUCAUUCAGUUGAUGGAAAUCUCAUAUUCUUCGUGUUGUUUAAUUUCGCUGAUAUGUAAAUCUCAAGAGUGAUUUUAGUUACAACUAACCGAAAGAGAUGAACGAAGAAGAUACGAUUGCAUCUGUUAAUAAAAGUGUGAAAUAAUAAGGAAUCCCUGAUUUGAAAGCAUCCGAAAGUGAACUGAAGCAUCUGGAAAUUCCAUGAGGGGGAGAUAUGGAAAGACCGGAUCAUUUGGUAGGCGUGUAUAUAAUUGUACAAGAUGAUAAAGAUGAGUUCCCAACUAAUGUUGCUAUGCUUGCAGCCCAAGAUGAUGCAACACGGUGCAAGGAUGUACACAUUGCUGCACCUGUAUAAUUCCCAUGAAAAAGUGUGCCCGAUUGUGAAUAUGAAUGAUCGAUUAUAUGCAUGUUCUGCAGGGUGUACACAUUGGUACACCCGCGUAUUUUCAAUGAAAAAUCCGGUUAUUAUGGAUGUUAUCCAACUGGAGCUUGGCAUGGCUGAUAUUUUUUUUCAGUAUGUGCGGACUAGGGUGGCAGUCUGGCUACCAUGAAUUUUGGAUUUUUUUUGAUCUUUGCAGCGGUGUACAUAAUUGUACACACAAAUGUAAAUUAAAUUUUUUUUAAAUGAAAAUUAUAGUCA